rnacentral:rRNA from 1 species
CGUAGGUGGCAAGCGUUGUCCGGAUUUAUUGGGUUUAAAGGGUGCGUAGGCGGUUCUAUAAGUCAGUGGUGAAAUCCGGCAGCUCAACUGUCGAUGUGCCAUUGAUACUGCAGAACUUGAGUACAGACGAGGUAGGCGGAGUUGACGGUGUAGCGGUGAAAUGCUUAGAUAUCGUCAAGAACACCGAUAGCGAAGGCAGCUUACUAGACUGUAACUGACGCUGAGGCACGAAAGUGUGGGGAUCAAACAGGAUUAGAUACCCUGGUAGUCCACACUGUAAACGAUGAUUACUCGAUGUUGGCGAUACACAGCCAGCGUCUUAGCAAAAGCGAUAAGUAAUCCACCUGGGGAGUACGCCGGCAACGGUG